UACAGAGGUCCCAAGCGUUGUUCGGAUUUAUUGGGCGUAAGGGUGGGUAGGUGGCGCCGUAAGUCGGGUGUGAAAUCUCGGGGCUCAACUCCGAAACUGCAUUCGAUACUGCGGUGCUUGAGGACUGGAGAGGAGACUGGAAUUCAUGGUGUAGCAGUGAAAUGCGUAGAGAUCAUGAGGAAGACCAGUGGCGAAGGCGGGUCUCUGGACAGUUCCUGACACUGAGACACGAAGGCCAGGGGAGCAAACGGG
rnacentral:rRNA from 1 species